AAAGACGGUCUUGCUGUCACUUAUAGAUGGAUCCGCGCUGCAUUAGCUAGUUGGUAAGGUAACGGCUUACCAAGGCAACGAUGCAUAGCCGACCUGAGAGGGCGAUCGGCCACACUGGAACUGAGACACGGUCCAGACUCCUACGGGAGGCAGCAGUAGGGAAUCUUCCGCAAUGGGCGAAAGCCUGACGGAGCAACGCCGCGUGAGUGAUGAAGGUCUUCGGAUCGUAA
rnacentral:rRNA from 1 species